UACGGUGGGGGCAAGCGUUGUUCGGAAUUACUGGGCGUAAAGGGCUCGUAGGCGGCCAACUAAGUCGGAUGUGAAAUCCCCAGGCUCAACCUGGGAACUGCAUCCGAUACUGGAUGGCUUGAAUUCGGGAGAGGGAUGCAGAAUUCCAGGUGUAGCGGUGAAAUGCGUAGAUAUCUGGAGGAAUACCGGUGGCGAAGGCGGCAUCCUGGACCGACAUUGACGCUGAGGAGCGAAAGCUAGGGGAGCAAACGGG
rnacentral:rRNA from 1 species